ensembl:lncRNA
AUUGCUCUAAGGAGUGAUUCUACUGCGGCAACGAGUCCAAAUACAACGAAAGUAUUGAUGCUGCAAAAGAAGACGGAUCUUUUGGUAGGCUGGUUAAUGAUGACCACAAGCACCCAAAUGGCAGAAUGCAGAAGACUGAAGUGGAUGGAAGCCCACAUCUUGGUCUGUUUGCUUUAACAGACUUUAAAGAAGGUGAUGAAAUUACCUACAAUUACGGAGGAGGAGACUGGCCUUGGUGUAGCAAGGUAAAACAUCUGCUCUGAUAAAGAGGAAGGCUCGGGAAGGAAAUGAGGUCCAUGCAGUGAAGAGACAUAUGAAGACCUUCAUCAUGUCAUGUCGUGUCCCAGGGAAGUUGGCCUGUGAAAACUGCAUUAGAUCUGAGUCUUUAUAUCUUAAAGAUAGAGACUGGCAAAGUGUCAAAUUCUAUGUCUAUAACUGCACUGUAGCUUACAAAAGAGAUAUAAACAAAGAUUAAAUAACACUUUGAUAGUAACACUGUACAUCUAUAUUACAGAUACUGUACAUCAUAACAUCUGUAGUAA